UCCUUGCAAAACCAUAGUCUGAGCAUGUAUAUUAGGGGUGUCGCACAUGCGACUAUGGCGAUAAAUGGCGUACGGAAUAAGCGUAGCGGACCCGGGGGCAGUGCCCGGCGCCUCCACCAACGUUGACUACCGGAUCGAGACAGCCGGAUUGGUUUUACGGGGGCGAAACAGGAUCGACGUGCGUAGUAAAGGUGCGAAGUUCGCCCGGCAUGGUACCGCCGUUAUCGGGCCGAUAUUAUAGAUGCCAAUGAUAAUGAGGCAUAUGCUCUCGCCGCCUAAGGCGUGAGCGGGGUUCGGGAGGCGCCUGGCACCAGAAGCCUCCCAUC
rnacentral:tmRNA from 1 species